rnacentral:rRNA from 1 species
GAUGAACGCUGGCGGCGUGCCUAAUACAUGCAAGUCGAGCGAACAGACCAGGCGCUUGCUCCUUUCACGUUUGCCGAGGGCGUGUGUGACACACGUGUAUCCUCUACCUAUCUUUCUGGGAUAACUUCGAGACUCCGGCGCUUAUACCAGAUAAUCUCCUGAACCACGGGGUGCAAUGGAAAGUUUCGGCUUUGGUGUCUGUUCUCGCUGGAUCCGCGCCGCAUUAGCUGGUUGGUAAGGUCACGGCUUACCACGGCAACGAUGCGUAGCCGACCUGAGAGGGUGAUCGGCCACACUGGAACUGAGACACGGUCCAGACUCCUACGGGAGGCAGCAGUAGGGAAUCUGCCGCAAUGGGCGAAAGCCUGACGGAGCAACGCCGCGUGAGUGAGGAAGGUCUUCGGAUCGUAAAACUCGGUUAUUAGGGAAGAACAAAUGUGUAAGUAACUAUGCACGUCUUGACGGUACCUAAUCAGAAAGCCACGGCUAACUACGUG